rnacentral:ncRNA from 1 species
AAGAAAGCGAAGAUAAGGAAGAGUAAUUUUUUCUAUUUUCUAGAGAUGAUAUGGUUUGGUGAAAAUAUCAAGGUAGGAAAAAUGAAAAGCACCUUAGAGCAAUUUAAUGAAUGAAGUAGUUAAAUUCGGUACAUACCGUUAUCAUGUCAAGAGAUCUUAGCAAUAAGAUAAGAAGGGUGGCAACGCGAGACAUCGUCCCUUUA